AUUUAAGGCUUGUUUUUAUUUCAGAAAUCUGAAAACAAAUAAUGUAAGGAUAUUCUUGAUCAGCACAGCACCAUGCCCAUUGACUUUGAAUAUCAAGCUGUACCCUAAGGAAUCACUGAGUCAAUGUGAAAGGAAAUAAGAUGGUCUUGGGGAUCUAAAGGAUGUGUUCUCACUGGGUGAAAGAUUACCAAACUAGGAAAUAUCAUCCAUUCCAUGACAGAAUAUCUUCUGUUAGGUCUCCAGAUAGAUGCAAAUCAUUUGUAAAUAAUUUAUUUUCAGAUACAGAUGCAUACAACCAACUAUUUUAAUUGCCUCCAAAUGUAUUCUCUUUAUCAUUCCUGACCACUGAUUUCUUUACUGACAAAUAGCUGCUCCUGGUGCUUGGACAUCGAGAUGAAGGCAAUCACUGGAAAAGCCGAAAGGAGGAUAAAUCCUGCUAGGAGGUGACAUAGUUGUACAAACAAUCCAAAUAGUGAAUGCCAGCGAGCAUCAAUGGGCGUGGGCUGGACCUCGUAUGAUCAGUACACAUGUGAGUGCCUGUCCUGGAGCACAGCCCUAGGAAGAAUCCAGCUGUAACUGACCCAAGCAUGCCUCCACACCAAAAGAAAGGCAACACAUGCACCCACCUCCUGCUAUCGUGAUUCCAUCUUAUAAUGGCUGUGUGACUUACAGAUUGCACCAACUGAUGACCCUGUCUUCACUUGAACCUUUUGCAAAACAGAUGAUUCAACCCUGUACCUUCCUUAAAGGCAAGAACUAUGUCUUCUUCAUCUUCAUAUCUCAGCACUAGUUUACACUUGCAAUUAAAAGGCAACUCAAUGUAGAGCAGUUUAAAGCAUGGGCUCUGAAGAGUCCAAAUUCCAGUUUCUCCACUUACUUAGGUUAAGAUCUUGCAAGCAGAUGCUCUAAGUGCCUAUCGAUGUCCCUCUGACCUGAACAUUUUAGAGUGCCCCAAAGGCACUGCCAAUAUCAGAAUCUCUGCCUGAGAGUAUCUUUUAAACCUGGAUAAGCUAGUCUUCCCUUGCAGGGUGUAGAAGUCCCAGGGUUAACCACCCUUAAAAAAAAAUCUGACAGCUAUUUAUACAACAGUGUUCACAACCGCAUUAUUCAUGAUAGCCAAAAGGUGAAAACAACCGAAAUGUCCACUGAUGUUGAAUGCAUAAAGAAAAUGAAGUAUACACAUAAAAUGGAAUAUUAUUCAUCCUUAAAAAAGAAAUGAGGAGGCCAAGGUGGGUGGAUUAUAUGAGGCCAGGAGUUCAAGACCAGCAUGGCCAACAUGGCAAAACCCCAUCUUUACUAAAAAAUACAAAAAUUAGCCGGGCAUGUUGGCAUGCACCUGUAGUCCUAGCUACUUGGGAGGCUGAGGCACGAGGAUCACGUGAACCCGGGAGGCAGAGGUUGAGAGGUUGCAGCGAGCCAAGACUCUGUCACUGCACUCCCACUUGGGCAACAGAGUGAGACUCUGUCUCAGAAAAAAAAAAAAAAAAAAAGGAAAUGAAAUUCUGAUACGUGCUACAACAUGAACUUUGAAAACAUUAUGCUAAGUGAAAUAAACCAGCCACAAAAGCUCAAAUAUUGUCUGAUAUCAUUUAUAUG
rnacentral:lncRNA from 10 species